GCCGGCCUAGCUCAGUUAGGGAGAGCGCGUGACUGAAGAUCAUGAGGUCGCCAGUUCAAUCCUGGCGGCCGGCA
rnacentral:tRNA from 1 species